rnacentral:tRNA from 1 species
GCGGAAGUGGCGGAAUUGGUAGACGCACCAGAUUUAGGUUCUGGCGCCGCAAGGUGUGAGAGUUCAAGUCUCCUUCCGCACCA